rnacentral:rRNA from 1 species
CCUACGGGAGGCAGCAGUGGGGAAUAUUGCGCAAUGGGCGAAAGCCUGACGCAGCGAAGCCGCGUGAGGGAUGAAGGUCUUCGGAUCGUAAACCUCUGUCAGCAGGGAAGAACGGUCACUGUGCUAAUCAGCAGUGCAUUGACGGUACCUGCAAAGGAAGCACCGGCUAACUCCGUGCCAGCAGCCGCGGUAAUACGGAGGGUGCGAGCGUUAAUCGGAAUUACUGGGCGUAAAGCGCUCGUAGUCGGUAUGUCAAGUCAAGGGUGAAAUCCCCGCGCGCAACGUUGGAACUGCCUUUGAUACUGGCAAACUGGAGUGUGUUAGAGGAUAGUGGAAUUCCAGGUGUAGGAGUGAAAUCCGUAGAUAUCUGGAGGAACAUCAGUGGCGAAGGCGACUAUCUGGCACAUAACUGACGCUGAGGAGCGAAAGCGUGGGUAGCAAACAGGAUUAGAUACCCUAGUAGUC